AAGUCUGAUGGAGCAACGCCGCGUGAGCGAUGAAGGCCUUCGGGUCGUAAAGCUCUGUUGUUAGGGAAGAACAAGUAUCGGAGUAACUGCCGGUACCUUGACGGUACCUAACCAGAAAGCCACGGCUAACUACGUGCCAGCAGCCGCGGUAAUACGUAGGUGGCAAGCGUUGUCCGGAAUUAUUGGGCGUAAAGCGCGCGCAGGCGGUCCUUUAAGUCUGAUGUGAAAGCCCACGGCUCAACCGUGGAGGGUCAUUGGAAACUGGGGGACUUGAGUACAGAAGAGGAAAGCGGAAUUCCACGUGUAGCGGUGAAAUGCGUAGAGAUGUGGAGGAACACCAGUGGCGAAGGCGGCUUUCUGGUCUGUAACUGACGCUGAGGCGCGAAAGCGUGGGGAGCAAACAGGAUUAGAUACCCUGGUAGUCCACGCCGUAAACGAUGAGUGCUAAGUGUUAGGGGGUUUCCGCCCCUUAKUGCUGCAGCUAACGCAUUAAGCACUCCGCCUG
rnacentral:rRNA from 1 species